CCUACGUGAGGCAGCAGUGAGGAAUAUUGGUCAAUGGGCGGAAGCCUGAACCAGCCAAGUAGCGUGCAGGAUGACGGCCCUACGGGUUGUACACUGCUUUUAUACGGGAAUAACGCGCCUUACGUGUAGGGCUUUGCAUGUACCGUAUGAAUAAGGACAGGCUAAUUCCGUGCCAGCAGCCGCGGUAAUACGGAAGGUCCGGGCGUUAUCCGGAUUUAUUGGGUUUAAAGGGAGCGUAGGCCGCAUGUCAAGCGUGCUGUUAAAUGUCCGGGCUCAACCCGGGCCUUGUAGCGCGAACGGGCGUUCUUGAGUCAGCGGAAAGCAUGCGGAAU
rnacentral:rRNA from 1 species